rnacentral:rRNA from 1 species
UACGAAGGGGGGCUAGCGUUGCUCGGAAUCACUGGGCGUAAAGGGUGCGUAGGCGGGUCUUUUAAGUCAGGGGUGAAAUCCUGGAGCUCAACUCCAGAACUGCCUUUGAUACUGAAGAUCUUGAGUUCGGGAGAGGUGAGUGGAACUGCGAGUGUAGAGGGUGAAAAUUCGUAGAUAUUCGCAAGAACACCAGUGGCGAAGGCGCUCACUGGCCCGAUACUGACGCUGAGGCACGAAAGCGUGGGGAGCAAACAGGG